rnacentral:lncRNA from 1 species
GUCAGUUGCUGUUCUCUCUCUUCUCUCUCCUUCAGUUUAGUCUCCAUCACAGUCAAAUUAGAUUUCAGUUGUUCCAGUUCUGAAGACAUAAGUGCAAACUGUUCUUCUUUUUGGUUUAGUUUGUUUAUUGUUUCUUGCAUAGCGCGUUGAGCAUUUUCUGCUCCAUCAACUGCACUAGUAAAUUUUUCUUUCAAAAGUUGAAGUUCCUUUUCCAAAGAAUCUUUAACUUGAUUUACUGCACUCAAAUUUUUCUCAAGGUCAAGAAGCUUUUGCUCUUUGCCCUGCAGUUCUUUGGUCAGAUUACUAACCUUGCUACUUCC